GUCCGAGACCGAAUCGGAGGAGGGGGUGGAGCGACCCGAAGACUACAGGAAGAUCGAAAUGAAUUAAGUUUUAAAGCACUUAUAACUAUUCAAUUUAAGAACGAGUGGCAUUCAAAGAAGAGCAUGAGCCACGACGCAGUCAGUAAAGAUAUAUGUAUAUUGUUUCCAAAUUCAAUACUAUAGAAGGAAUUUAAAACUGAAUUUUUAAUUUUUAACACUUGACACACACUUACAUAUGUAUUCCAUAAAUAAUAUAUUGAUAACAAUA